UGUAAUUUAGCUUUGCUUUCUCUUUUUCAUACAUUCAGUCCAUUUUUGCUUCAAUUUCUCUUGAUAAUGAACUUCGGGCAAUACCAGAAGGCCUAGAAGAACGCAGAUGACUACUUGGCUUUAAGUGCUCUGAGAAGAGAAAAGUAAGUGGAAGAAAAAGCAAAAAAGAGUCAGCCAGGAGGUGGGAGAAAAACUAGAAAGGCUUUGGAAAGGGAGAAGGCACGCCAGGGAGAUGGGCUGGGGGAGGCAUCCGACGCGGGGGCCUCGGGCACGCUUCUUCAGUUCACAGAAGGACGUGCUGCUGCUGAUGGCUAAACACCUGGGGCUCACUGGGAUGAUGCACUGUGUAGCGGGAAGAGGACAUCCACACUGCAGUUCAGCAGGAGCCUCCCAGGAUGGGUCAGGAGAUGCCUAAGGUGAUCAGACUGCUAUAGCCCCAAGUGCAGUGCUGCUGCAGCACCGGAGGAGCUCCCAGAGAACUAUCCCAGCAACGAGAAAUUCUCAUUUGGUCUGCUGGAAAGCGUGGUGGCAGCGGGGUGGACCUUUCUGAAGCCAUUUUGCUGUUCUCAGUACAUCUGGGCAGGGAGGAGAAGCCAGCCAACUAGAAUGAAGACCAGUCAAUCCCUCCUUUGCAAAGGCCACAGUGAAUCCUGGAGGCUAACUGAUAGAUGCUACUCCAGACUCCUGGCCUCUCCUCGCCUUUGACUCUGAAGCUUCACGUGGACCCAGCCCGUCACACCUGCCAGGAGGUGGCUCUGGCAACACAGCCAGACAAGGCCACCCCGUCAUGCUCCAAGCAGCUCCUCACAUGGCUGAAGCCCCCAGCUGCACAGGAGCCCACUGUUGAAACUAGAAUUAAACCCUGUUUGACCCGCAGCCCCAUGGAGAUUGUGACCAGGCCAGGCCUACAGAAUGAAAGGGCAAAGUCACUUUGGGCCCAAGGACUGGGAAGCAAAUUCCCUGAGGAUGACACACGUGACAUGGGGAGCAGUAAAAAGCCAAGGAUCAAGCACCCUAUUUGCCCAGGCUUCACAUGUGGAAGAAGCUGUUCAAACUAUACAUAACAAAACAGACUGAUUGUGUCAGUGGCUAGAGGAAAGUCAGCACAAAUAGAGCUUGGAAAACACACUUAUCUCUCAGGAUCGCCUGAUAGGCAAGGUAAACAUUUAGUCCCGGCCCUGGAAUGGUGCCUGCUAGCUCUGUGCUUUGCUUCAUUUUCCCCUUUAUUCAUUCAUCUUGCUGCCUGCCCCCCUCUGUGUGGCCAGCCCUGGCCUGGCGCUUCAUCCCCUGGUAUAACUCUCUAGUCUCCCUCAGAGGGGCUCAGUGGGGGAGCAGGAGGAGAGCAGAGACUGAGAAGCUUCACAGAGGAGUCACUUCUCAGCUGGGUUUUCACUGCUGUGUACACCUCAUGAGAACCACAAGGGGUGGGGUCGAAGCUCAUUCUAAAGAGAAAAUGGGAUAUAAAGCAUGUCAAAUAGUUUUACCUGAGUAGUUUUAGCUGCUAUACGGUCAUUUGCAUAGUCAAGACUAGCAAUGCCUGUCACUGGGUCCCUCCGCUCCAGUACUGACUGAGAGCCUGCCCUGCGCGCUGUGCUGGCCAGGCACUGGUGUACCACAGUCCUGAAGCUGGCUUCCCCAUGAAGCUGCCGGAGUUUAGUGUGUGGGAUGUUUAUUGAGGCAUGCCUCUAGGACCAACACCCAUGGAAGGGGCAGAAGGAUGCAGGAUUGGGACAAGGGAGAAAUGGAGCUGCCACUAGGCCCAGUAACCUCAACUGGCCUCCUGAGAACUCUGAAGCUGCAAUGCCCUUUGGAGUCACCCUGAACUGGGACUGCCCUUGAUACCCUCACACUGAUCAGUAUUGGCAGUGGACCACCGCAGAAAGGAACAUGAACCUGGGUGCAGAGAGGCCAGCAGCUGAAGGUGUCUGCCCUCUGAUGGCAUCAACCACCGCAAGCCCUUCCUGGAGGGGGCUCUGAGCUGUGCAUCACAGUGUCCACCACAAGCAGUAAACAGAGCAGACGAAAAUCCCUGCCCUCCUGAAGAGGUGGUUCCAGUGGGAGCUAUGUUCUAAAGGUGACUGUCAGGAUUAAAUGAAAUAACCGUGAAAAGUACUUGUGAUAUAAAAUGAGUCAUAAGAAUUACGUAUUUGGUCAUUCACAUGACCAAAUAUGUAUUUCCCAGGUAUACUGGUCUUCAUCCACAGUUCCUGAAAACACUGGAGAGUCUUAAAGGUAAAACAGGUGUUUUGUCAUGUUAAUGAGAGACUUUUGAACCCCACCCAAGGGCAAGGUCGAAUCAGCCAAUGGCCAAAAAUCAGCCAUGACUGUGCAAUGAAACCCCCACAAAAACCCCUGAGCCGAGCUAAUCGUGCUCUGCUCUGCUGUGCCCGUCCCUUCCCUUCUCUGCCCCGUGCUGCUCUGCACUCUGCUUUGCUCAAUCCUGUUUUUCAGUUGGAGAGAGCUUUUAUGCUUAGAGAACCAGAACGCCUCCAAGCUCCAUGAGGAUAGAAACUCCUGUAUUUGGGACCUUGCCCUGUGUCUCUCUUCAUAACAGCUAUUAGCUUGUAUGCUUUACA